AGCAACACUCCCACAUCUCUCUUUAACUUUGCUAGAGAUCCUAAAAUGUUUGUGCUGAAAGCGUCUCUAAGACAGAGGAUUACAGUGCAGCAGAGCUGGAAAGGAUCUUGCAGGUUAUCCUGUACCAUCCUCUCAUUUUGGAGCUCAAAACCGAACCCUGUGGGGAGUGUCUUGCCCAGGGUGCCCCCUCGGUAUUAGAAGCUGGGUCUUCUUUCCUCGUUCUUUCUUUGAUCGAAUUGAACAACUCACAGCCAGCUGAACGUCUCAAGUUUGCUGCAGAACCCAUUUUAAAGAAAACAGUUACCACUGUACAUAGAAUGGAAGCUUUAAGCUCUGGUAUUACAAUGAGGGUGUGAUUUUUCACCUAGAAGUUCAGAGUAAUGUGCUUUUCUCAAGCUCUGUGCAUGGAACUCAGGCCUGAAUUUGAUCUUGGAUGCUUUAAAGAGGUGGAUUAUUUCUCCUCCGUCUUCAUAAUGAGUUAGAAUGUGCCAAAGGUAGAAGGCUGCAAUCAUACCUGCAAACACUGACAUUUGGGAAAGGGAUCUUUGGAAGUCCAUGUCAGAAUGGAAAGGCACGAAAGCAUCCAGCCCUACCCAAGAGCUAGCGGACAGACCAGCCCCCUCCCUGCUCCAGACGGCCCCCCAGAAAGGUUUAUCUGCAAGCAUGAUUCACGUAGGACGCCGUAUUGUUUCCAGCCCAGAUACGGAGUUGGGAGGGAGGGGAGCUGAAGCUACAGAUUAGACCUCCUGUUCCCAAAGCCACUGUGUCCUGCCAAGUUAGAUACAAAGAUUCUGCAUGCCAGCGGCACGAUGGGCAGGGUGCCGAGGCCAAAAGAAUGCCCCCAAACAAAAACGCUCCUCUUUUAAAAAUAGAAUUUGUGGAUCUCAGGAGUCUGCUUGCAUGGCCAGUGGCAUGAGGGGAGGGUUGUAGGGAAAGGAGAGGCUUUAGUAUUUAUAUCUGUAUGCACGUGUUGAUUUUCUAAAGUAUCUAUUGUGCAUUCGUGUGCCACUUUGGUCAAUGACUUGCAAUCUUUUGCCGUAAGAAAUGAACAAGAGUGACACGAUGAAACCUUGAAGGUUUCAUUCCUUUUGUUCCCCAACAUGGCAGAAACGUGCCUUGGAAUGACCGGCAACAAAGCAGCCUGGAUCGCGCAUGCCGGAAUAAAGCUUUGUCUCAACAAACGGUGGCAGCAGCUCAUUUUUGCCAGGAGGGCUGAAGGAUACUGGGAGAGGGCCCUCGUUCUCCACUCAUGCCAGCCUCGGAAGCGAAGAAAACACUGGAGCCCUGAACAGAGGUCCUGGAAAGCCUGUUGCCAGAUAACCUACCCAGUGAUGAGAGGCCUGCUUCAUACAGAGCUAUGGAUUCAUUGCAGCAUUUUGGCUGGGACUCUUCUCUUUAACUGUGGCAGAGGCAGCAGAAUCUUUUGGCACUAUUAGAAGGUUCAUUUAUUUAAAGAAGAAAAUGAGACACAGAAUUUUCCUUCAAAGAAAUCAGCUUAGUGAAAUCCAGGGAAGAGGAGAAGCAGUGAGCUUUUACAAAGGACACCAUGAAAAUAGUCUAAAUAAUUCUUUGAUUGAGUCCUACAUAAUAUGUUAUUUAAAAUGAAAAACAAUUUCACGGGGAACCUGUAUUUUCACAGUACUGAACACAUAUGAAUGUGGGAUGUCGAGCUGGGGAAGAGGGCGCAAAUCUUCUUCCCCUCUCCCACUAUCAGGGGGAAGCUUUGAAAUCAUCUUGGAGGGGGAAGCCAACAGAAAUGCAAAGCAAAAAAAAAAAAGAGCUAAAAGUCUAAGAAAACAUUUUUCUGGCUUGCCAGUCACACAAGUCUCUGAGCCUUUAUUUUGAAAGAAAUGGCUUGUGUUGAGUCUUCCUUGAUAGAGAAAUUAGAGGGUGAAAGUGAACUGUCAACCUGGAAAAAGACAGGGUCCCUUUAAGCAGUCAAAAAGAAAAAGGUUCAAUUUCUGAACUCAAGAGAUAACUGUGUGCCAGGGCCUCUGGGUAACAUUAAGAUAUGAUCACUUGCUGGGAACAAAUGUUUUCAUCUCCCCCCUUUUAUGUAUUUGGCAAUACUUGUAACGCUGACUCCCUAGUUGCUAUUUCUUUGUUCAGUUUUUCCUUUUGCCUCAGAACUUUAUCACACACCACCCUCCCCUCUGAUAAAUCUUGGCAUAAAAUUCUUGGCAUCUUGGUUGGUUGGGUUCAUAUGGCCUCAAAACAGAGAAGCUAGUUAAAUUUCCACCCUCUUCAUCCUCUGGCUCACAGCUCACUUCUCAGAAUCCUGAAGCAACGAAGAAUCAUCCAGAUAGGGAAUAAUGUCAUCCAGAGCCUCAGACUUCUGAGCUGGGAUGGGUUAAGCCAUUCUAGGUGUGAUGUGCAUUAAAAAAGCCUUUGUUGAUUCUUUGCAUUCCCUUUACGGAAUAUGAAGCAGCAGUCGUAGCCAGGCACUAUUUUCAGAGCCGUGCCAACACUUAUUAAUAACGCUGGUGUGUAAAAGACAUACCCAUUUCAAACUCCUUUAGAUCCAAAAAAAAAUUACCAUUUGCUGGGAAGAGAGUAGAGAAAACAACGGCCACAAAUCACUACCAGAAUGAAAUGCUGCUCUUGGUUUUAAAUGGAAUCCAAGUACCCCCUCUGGAGCAGCCGUGACAAGCCCAGCUCUGGCAUCCAUCAGCUGGACAAAGAGGCUAGGACUUCAAAUUAAACAUAACUGAUCUUCCCAUCUCUGAGGAGGCUCUUGGCCUUUUGCUCCUGUGCAUAAUUAUAACUGACAUUAAUGGUCAUGACCCCUAUUUCCUCAGCUCGAUGGAAUUUCAUCCUUCCAAAUCACCUUAUCAUGCUAUUGACUUGGAAUCUAAAUUUGGCCACUGUGAUUUUGUACAGUGGGACUAUCUCUCCUGGGGUAAACUUUUAUGAGAAAAGUUAUAAAAAUCAGAGGCUUUAUUUAUUUUCUUAAAGCUGGUUAUUUUAAUUUCAUUCUGGGGUAAGCUCUUGGGAGAAAUGUGUUAUAAAAUUGGAGGCUUUAUUUAAUUUCUUGAAGUUGGUUAUUUUAAUUGCACUGGGGCUGAUCUCCGAAUGGUAGAAAUGGAAAAGAUACCCCUGACUUCAAGAUGCUAUCCAAACCAUAACUGUACUUGGAUGAGUUCUCCCCAAGAGGACAGACUGAGGCAACAGUAUAACAUACACAGAAACUAAGUACAAAUUGCAAACAGAAACAUAUGUACUUUAUAAAAGGAAGACUCUUUUGGCUUUGUUUACAGACUGUUGGUGGUGGUUUGUUUUUUUUUUAAGUAUAUGGAGCCUUCCACAGAUACCAGGCAGAAAAGCAAAACACUGGAAAAAUCAACCAAGAGAUUUUUAAAAGCUCAGACAAAAGACCAGGUGUUUUGCUUUGAUUAAUCAUUCACAACCAAUAACAGGGUGACUAAAGCUCUACUGACUUUCCCUCUGGCAUAUUACACCUUUUUAAUUCCGCGUGGAGAAGCUGCGCAUUAAUGAGGAAGAAAAAGCAGGAGCUAACAACAAAGUCCCCAUUUUCUGAAGUCUGGAGUUCACCACUGUAAUCAUUUCAUUUACUGCUUUUAAAUGAACUAUGGUCCAGGUGAAUGGUCUGAGUAGAACUCUGCUAGUCGUUAUUAUCACAGGCUAAACCAUCAUCAAGAUGUUCUGUAUGUUGGGUGCUGCAGAGCAUUCACUUUCAUUUUAAGUCAAACUCUUCAUUUAUCAGAAAUAUAAGUAUGAUCCCCAAAUCAGAAAACUUAUGCUUUUCCUUGUUAUGGUUAAUACUCUCAUUACCAAAAAAAUUUUUUACUGCCAGAUACAAAAGAAGGAAAGAUGAGCAUCGCACAGAGGGCGACAGAAUUCUGAAGGAGGGGAGAUGGAACAAAUAUUUAUUAGCCCACUAUGUCAAAGAUGGAGGAAAGGACCUACUUGUACAAAACAUGUCUAGGAGCUCUUUUGGUGGUGGCAAAGAAUUGGAACCUGGGAGGACAUCCAUUAACAGGAGACCGACGGAACAAGUCAUGGUAUAUGAUGAUGAUGAUGAUGGAAAACUACUGGGCUAUAAGAAGCACAAAGCCAAAUGAUUAACAGGAUAAUGACAAAAAAAAAGCAACAAAAAACCUAGAAGGAUUUAUAUGAUCUGAUGCAAAGUGAAGUGAGCAGAACCAGGAGGACACUGUAAAGAUGAUCAAUCAUGAAUGACUUAACUGUUAUUAACAAUGCAAGAAUAGUGGACAAUUCCAGGGGACCUAGGAUGAAAAACACUAUCCACCACCAUAGAAGGAACUGACAGAGUCUGAAUGCAGAUUGAAACAUGCUUCACUUUAUUUCCUCCAUGAACUUCUCUUUAGUGUAAGUGAUGUGUCUUGUUUCAUAUGAUAAAUAUGUAUUGUAGAUAACACAUAUACAACCUUCCCUGGGGAAGGGCUGAGGGGCAGAAGGGAGGGAGAGAACAAGGAUUGUAAACUCUCAGAAAACAAUUAUUAAAAAUUGUAUCAACAUGUAAUCAGGAAAAAAAUUUUCAAUAAGUACCUACUCUUGUGCCAGCUUCUAUACUAAGGGUUUUACAAACAUUUGUUCCUUUGACAGAAGGAGCAGAUGAGCUGGACCUGGGGCAGGAACAGAGAUAACUAGUGGUACUCUCAUGAUGGGUUGAGAAAUAUCAAAGGUUUCCAGACUGACGGGUAGACACCCUGGGGCUAACUUUUAGGAGAACCUGGUUGAGAGACACAUUGGCUGGGCAGGCAUAGACUAGGUUAUAAUUUUAAUCUUCAAAGAGAACUACCAAAUUAAUGAAAUUAUAAAAUUCUCCAUUUAGUUUUCCCCCUUUUAGUAAACUAGAAAACUCUCAGGCCCAUCCUUAACCAAAUGGAUGAGUUUGUUUGUAAAAUGUGCUGGAUUUCAGUGGGUAGAAAGCACCAAUCUGCCAUGAGUAAAAUCAUGUACCAUCAUCACUACCCCACUUCUCUGCCCCUGGCCCAAGAGCCACACUGAUGCAGGGAAUGCUGACCUAAACACAAAUGUUUAAUGGAAUAGUCAUGCUUGCAUUAACUUAAAAAUAAUAAUCAUUUCUCUUCUUGGUUUCAGGAGCAAUCUGGAAUUUAAGUCAAUUGGAUAACUCCUUUGAAAAAAUUUACCUCUUGGCUGCAACUAAAUGUAAAUAUAAAAGAGGGCAUAUGGAGUGAGCUUUGUCUGGGGUUGGGAAAGUCUACAAAUGGCAAAAAGAUUGUAAUGAUGGUGGUAAGGAUAAGAGGAAUAUAGGUUUGCACAUGUCCUCCCCCCGGCACCAUUCCAGGGUUGGGGCUCUUACAAAGCUAAAAACUGAAUAGUGAAAAACAUCAUAGCAACUGAGAUUGAUGCUGAAUAUCACAUGCGGUAAGGAUUGCUUACUAUGAGUGUCAUAUGCUAUAGCAACUCCUAUCACUAGUUUGCAAGUCAGAAGAGUGCAAUUUAGGACCCCAUCAGUGGAGCUCCUUUCUCACUAAAACAACACAAAUGGCCUGCCCUCUUCUGAGUUAGGUAGACAAAGAAGCUGGUGCUGAAAAGGAGACUGGGUGGAGGUUAUUGUCUACUAGGCAGAUCCUUGGAUAAUUCUAAGCUUGAAUACACAAAACACUGUGGUUAGAAAAUAAUCUUCUUGGUGUAGGUUCAACUGAUAGCAAUGGGGGCCAUUUCCUUAGCCCUAAAAUUAGUAAAAGAUCAACUUGGUCCUAAAGGACAAAGACAUUUUUACUACACUGUAAUUCUAACAGUGCGACUUAACAUGGAAUUUCAAAAUCUGGAUGCUCAAAUUUUCUUUUCAAAUCGGGAAAUUCUAAGAAUAUUCCUCCUCUGGGUGAGAAAGAUAAGCUAUCCCUGGUUCUGCUCCAGUGUGUUCAGGAAUGGGUCUUUCUUGCUCAGUUGGGGGCUUUGUUUCUGACAGUCUCUUCAGGGGGAGGUUUUCUCCAUGCUGAACACAGACUGUCUUCCAGUUAAUGACCUGGGAAGACAGGCAAUCAUGGUGAGACGUUUACUGGGGGGAGUGUGAGAAGGAAGAAAAAUACAAGGUCUCUUCUCACUUAACAUUUGUUGUGUUAAGCUUCUCAAAUAAGACUCUUUGUUCUAGCUUCCAUGUCUUGAUUUCUAGAUGUAAUGAAGACUGGUAAAACGCCCUUUAACAACUAUUUUGCCAAUUUCAAAUGACUCUGUGACAUCUUUCUAGAAAGAGAAUGGAAUAAAUUUGAGGGCGUAUAAAACCUUGGAUUAAAAAUAAGUUGGUUUGGGCAUCUCCCCUCUAGGAUGCCUACACUGAACUGAAUUCAAGCUCAAAAAAAUCCCUACUCACAGCAUACAAAAUAAUAUUGUUAUUUGAAAAAAAUCUCUUUUUUCUGCUUUUCCCCUUAUUCUUUUCAGUUAUUGUACUAAUGAUUGGGGAAAUGAUCAUCAAGCAAUAAGAAGUAUUUCCAAACUAGAAGAGCUAAGCAAGUCAGUGUGAUUGCUUUUCUUUUAAUAAUAUGAAAAGGAGUAGAAGAAAAUUAUAUUACCUUCAGGCAACUAGGCAAAUUUUUGCAUUAUGGGUGAGAUUUGUGCCCUCCUCAGCAGCUCCUGGACUCGGGUACUUGACAGUAUUUCAAACUCUUAGGCACAAGCGCUUAUAAUUCUAAUUUCAUUGCUAUGGUAUGUUGUUUAAAAUAUUAGUAACCCUUACUUGGGAAGGAUUUUUGUUCCGACAACCAUGAAGGCCACUGCAAAUUCUUGGAACAAGUAAAUGUGGGCUGCCAACAGCUGCAGGAUAAUUUCCACACUGUGGAAGACUGCUUGGCUAAAGUCCAUUCUCUUCCAAACUCAUCUUUUCCCAACAGAAUAAUCCCCCAUCCAGAAAUGCAUUUCAAGAAACAAUCGAUGCCCUGUGGAAAAGACGGUUUUCUUGUACAAGGACAGCCAGCUUCACCUGAGAGACACUUCAGUACAGAUCUCAAAGUGUCCCUUGCAGCAACUGUGUCCUGCACAUUUUCAGCCUUCCAGAUCUGUGAAUUUUCUCUUCUUGUAAUUCUGAACCAGGCUAGAAGCUGUGAUCUGAGAAGCUUGACCCUUCUCCCAGCACUGAAAGUCAUUCAACCCUUUCUGGCCUGUGUGAAACAAGCCCCGUUCCAGCUCAUCCAGCCGGGCAACCAGGCUUGAGGUGUCUUCAUUGUAGGCAUUCUGAGAGGAGUCCAUAAUACGGCGGAAACGCCCGAUAAAGGUCUAAGAGAGGAGGCAAUCACAGUCGUCAUUGAGCUACAAGAUGAAAAAUGCCAUUUCUACUUUUCACUUUUAUGGUAAACCAUCCAAAUGGGAUGGAAUUUGAAAAAGUUAAUAUUGCCUCAAGUUCAGGUGGAAUUCCAUUGAAAUUUUUGACCUAAUGACCAAGAAUCACCUACACAUAAAAUUUUCCACCAGAAAAAUGUCAGAUCUAAUUACUCUAGGAUUUUGUUAUUGUGCUUGAGAGCAGGACUUGAGGGAUGGGACCCAAACCUGCCUUUGCUGCCCUCGUGAUUUGGGAAUCAUAAGACUUUGAGCUAGAAGGAAUCUUUGUCAUCUGCCUUCUGACCCCAGCCCUCCAAACUGAAUCUGCUCUCUCCAAUGUUACUCAUGAUCUCUUCACUGUCAAAUCUGAUGAUUUGUUCUCAGUCUCCAUCUGCUGUGACAUCUCGGCAGCAUUUGACACCGCCGAUCACUCUCUCCUCCUCAAUACACUUCUCUGAGUUGUGACACGGCUCUUUCCUGAGUCUCUUCCUACCUUUGUGACUCCUCCUUCUCUAAAUGGCUCCAGGCACUCUUGUCUUCUCUAGUCUCUCACAUGGUGGCCAGCUUUUAUGGAUUUAAGUAGGGCAGCUAGCUGGCAGUGGAUAAAGUGCCAGGCCUGGAGUCAAGAAGACUAAUCUUCCUGAGUUCAAAUCCAGCCUCAGACACUUACUAGACGUGUGACCCUGGGCAAGUUACUUCACCUUGUUUGUCUCAGUUUCCUCAUCUGUAAAAGGGGCUGGAGAAGGAAAUGGCAAAUUACUCCAUUAUUUUUGCCAAGAAACCCCAAAUGGUGUCAAAAAGGGUCCAAUAGGACUGAAAAGUCAGAACCACAACAUUAUCAUCUCUCUGUAGAUGACUACUAGAUCUAUAUCCAGUCCCAGGCUCUCUGCUGAGCUCCAAGCCCACAACACUACCUUCUCAAUGACAUAUCAAAACUGGAUGUCGUGGACAUCUCAAGUUCAACAUGACUAAAACAGAACUUCUUAUCUUUCCUUUCCAAACAUUCCUGCCUUCUGAGCUUCCUUAUCUGUUAAAUACUCUUGGCUUUCCAGGUUUGUAACCUUAGCAUUAACCUCAACUCCUCUCUUUCACCUCAUCUACCCAAUCAAUAGUAAUAGGUAGCAUUUAGUUAGCACCUCCUUUGUGCCAGGCACUGUGCUAAAUAAUCUACAAAUAUUAUUUUGUUUGUUUUUCAUAGCAAAGCUGUGAGGUAGACCCUAUUAUUAUUGCCAUUUUGCUACUGAGAAAAAUGAGACAAACCGAAGUUAACUAUAAGCCUCUACAUAGCUAAGGAUUGUCCGAGUGGGAUCUGAACUCAGGUCUUCCUGACUCCAGGCCCAGUGUUCUGCCCACUGCACCACCUUUCUUCCUGUGAUCAGGUGCGAAAUACUGGCAUGUUUAUAUCUACACCUCUCAAAACCAUCCCUCUGCCACUCUUCAUUCAUCCUAUACUUUUGUUUGGUGACCUGGACGAUUGCAAUGAUUCCUAAUGGAUCCCUUUGCCUCUAAUUUCACCUCGCUCUUUUUGAGGAGUUCUUAACCUUUUCUGUUUCAUGGACCCCUUUGGCAGGCUGGUGAAGUUUAUACACUCCUUAUCCUAAGAUUUAAAAUAACUGAAGGAAAUGCUAAGUUUUAGUUAGAGGUUAAUGAGAAUAAAUUCCCCCUCCAUCCAAGUUGAAUGACACACUAAGAUCUCUCCCUGCAGCCCUUGAAGUCCCUGAACACCAUCCUUCAAACAGCUAUCAAAGUGGUGCUCCUCCAGUCUGGCCACACCAUCGUUUUACUCGGCAACCUGCCCUGGCUCUCUACUAUCUCUGGAAAAAGAUAUGAAUUCUUUUGUUUCUCUUUUAAAGCCCGUUACAACCUGUUCUCAACUUCUCUGCCUCCCUUUACCAGGCUCUGGUCCAGCUUACCUGGCCUUCUUUCUAAUCCACACACGUGACAUGCCCCUCUCCAGGCCUUGGCACUGGCCCCCCUCCAAAAUCUAGAAUGCAUUUUUUCAUUCCUGUUGCCUCAGGGAAUCCCCUUGCUUCUUCAGGACCCAACUCAAGCACCCCAAAGCCAUCUCUGACUCCACCAACUGCUAGUGCCCUUUCUUUCUAAGUGAUCCUGGAUUGAUUCUAUUUUUAUACUAGCUAAUGUCUGUAGUAUUUUAAGAUUUGCAAAGCAUUCUACAUUUUAUCUCAUUUGAUUCAUAUGACAACCCCAUGAGGUGGGUGCUAUUACCAUCACUAUUUAGCAGGUGAGGAAACUGGGGCUGAGACUUAAAUGAUUUAUCCAAGGUUGUACAAUUAAUUCUGAGGCAGAAUUUAAAUUGCAUCCACUGCCAUCCAUUCACUGCACCAGCUAGCUGCCUCUCCCUGUAGGGAUACAUCUUGUCUCUUUAGGUAGAAGGUAAGCUUCUUGACAGCACGGAUGGUUAUAUUUGGGUCUUGGUGUCUCCAGUGCCUAGUUCCAAAGAAAUGCUUGUUAACUGACUGCUUUACUAUAGCGUAGUCCAAUCCCUCAUUUUAUAGUUGAGGGUUUUCAACAAGAAAUAAAAUCCCUGAAUUUCUAUUCCUUCUGCUGUGUUAUGGUCCUAUAUCUUGGCAGACAGGUGGCUAUCAGAGUUGAGAUAAAGCAAUUUAAAAAAUCAAUGGAGACAGAAAACUCACUGGAAAAAAAAUGAAAUUAAGAAGGCUAUUUCUAGAGACCUAGAAACAGGAAUUUUCCUCAUUUCAUUAACUUGCAUUUUCCCCAUAACUAUAUUUUUUCUUUCUAAUUUCUAUGCAUUAAUGUUUUCCAAAUUAAAAUCAAAUGAAGCCAUUUUUGUUUACUAUUAGCAAUGAAAAUAGCAUCAUCAGUUUAAAAAUGGUAACACCUUUUCAGAUAAAACAUCUUUAUUUAUCCAUCAGUCUGUCUGGUGAUGUGAGCAGUCCUCAGGAACAAAUGUGUGUCUAGCCGACUGCUCAUCCCAAGUAAGAAAAGACAGAAAGAGUUUUGGGCUGCUUCAGUCCCAAAAAGCAAAUGGGGAGGUUGGUUUGUUAGAUAAUAGAUGAUGGAGUAAAAAUAAUUAUUAAAAAUAAUCAAAAUGUUAUACUUUUCAGUAAGGUAAUAUAGGCUAGGAAUUUUAGUUUGUCCAGCAGACAUUGAGGACAAUGGGAAAAGGAAAUAAGUAAAUCUGCUUCAACUGAGGUCCUCAGACAGGCCACGUUUUUACUGUUGGAGUUAGACUAAACAGAAGCCCCUGUGACUUGCUACCAUCUUUCCCUCUAUUCUGAGGCUUCCUGAUCAUUCUUGGUUUCUCUACCAGCUGUUUGUCAGCAAAUGAAGCAAUAGCAGUCAAGUAAGGUUUUGUUUCUUUUGUUUUGGCCAGAAAGGAUAGUCUAAUUUGGAAUAGGGAACAAUAUCAACUUUACAAUUUUUAAUAUAAGAAUGUUGACCUGCUUCCUAUUUUUAUAUGCUUCUGAAGCAAAGAGCCCAGCAGACCCCAUAUUCAAGUCUUCAUCUCUGUUACUUGCCUGUAAGAGUGUCUGGGACACAUCUGUAUUCUCUGGACUUUCGAAAUGCAGGAGCUGAGAGCCAAAGCCAUAGUAAUGGGGGCCCAUUUUAUGGAGGUCCACCACAUUGGCAUCAGCACUGAACACUGUCCUCCAACCCUCUUUAUAAAUCUUGGGGAGUUCCACAGAAAGUAUCCGUCUCUUGUUGUCAUAAAGUCCUUUUGCCAGCCACAGGGGAAUUUCCAAUUUUGAGCCCUAAGAAAGAAAACAAAGGCAAGGUCUCAGAAAAUAGAUCAACCAAAAGGAAAACCCACAGGGCAAAAAAGAGAAACAAACCAUGAGAUAAGUUCAGACUUUAUCACUGAAUGACUGUUGGUAGCAGAGGAUUUUGCAGUUACUUUCUGAAAAGUAAACUGUGGAGGCUGAAAUAAUUUUCAUGACAAUCUAGAGAAGAAAAUUGAUGAAUACAUGAAAAAAAGGCUAAAAAAAUUUGAGUAUAAAGGAAAGUUUUAGCAUACCUCAAAUAUGCCAAGUGAAUUCAUUUUUAGAGCUAAUCUCACUUUUGCUAUAGUACUUUCUGACUGUGUUCAGUAAAUUGUUCAAAUAUUAAAACCCUGGACAUGGUAUUUGUCUUCUGACCUGACUGCUGGUUCAUGUCUUAAGCUAACAACAAGCCCCAUGGAUGGGUAUUUUGCUUCCAUUAGUUUUGACUGUUCAAUUUUCCAUUCUAAAGAAAAAUUUACAAAAGGGCACUGACUUAUCCCAAAGAGACCAAAGGAAAAGGACCUAUUUUUACAGAAAAAUUUUUGGCAGCUCUUUUUGUUGUGGCAAAAAAUUGGAAAUUGAAGGGGUGCUCAAGAAUUGGGGAACAGUUGAACAAGUUGUGGUAUGAUUGUGAUGGACUACUACUGUGCUGAGGAAAAAUAACAAAAAGGAAAUUUUCAGAAAAACUUGAAAACGCUUAUAUGAACUGAUGCAAAAUGAAGUGAGAAGGACCAGGAGAUCAUUGUGCCUAGUAACAGCAAUGUCAUAAUGAUGAUACUGUGAAAGACUUGGCUACUCUGGUCGAUACAAUGAUCCAAGACAAUUCCAAAGGACUCAUGAAGAAAAAAAUGCUUCCCACUUUCAUUGAACUGAUGAACUCUGAGUGCAAACUGAAGUAUAAUUUUCUUACUUUGUUUUUCUUGCUUUAAAAAAAUAUAGCUAAUAUGAAAAUAUAUUUUGCAUAAAUUCACAUGUAUAAUUAAUAUUGAUUGCUUUUUCAGUGCGUUGGGAAGGGGCAGGAGGGAUGAAGAGAAUUAAGAACUCAAAAUUUUAAAAAAAGUGCUAAAAAUAAAUUUUUUUACAAAGAGUUGACUUGAAUAUAUUCCUUAAACUAAAUGGCUUAACUUUCAUAUUAUAUGAAAUAAUUGUAUUGAUGCACACCAUACAUCAGGUAGUACCUUAUAUUUUAAGGGAUCUUUGAUCUCAUUGAUGUACCCUCCAGCAGUAUACAAUGAAAUCCACACCUUCAGACUUUGGUGACUCUUGUUUACACCCUUUCAUAAAUCACCCACAAGGGUUCCUUCUACCCAUAGGAUUAGAAAGGGCCUCCCUUGAAGUUUCUUCAUGAGAUAAGUGCCAGUGAAGCAUCUAGGCAGCCCAGUAUGAAUUCUAUGGUCUAAAUGUAUCCCUGACCACAUCCCCCCAUCUUCUCCAGUAAUCUGCUCUCUUAGUUAUCAUCUCUCUUGAAUAUUUAGUCUCUCCAUAAAUACUGGUUCCUUCCCUAUUGUCUUCAUAAUAUGCCUACAUCUCUAUCUUUAAAAAUAAAUAAAUAAAAGAACCCUUUACUA